rnacentral:rRNA from 1 species
ACAUGCAAGUCGAACGGUAACAGGAAGCAGCUUGCUGCUUCGCUGACGAGUGGCGGACGGGUGAGUAAUGUCUGGGAAACUGCCUGAUGGAGGGGGAUAACUACUGGAAACGGUAGCUAAUACCGCAUAACGUCGCAAGACCAAAGAGGGGGACCUUCGGGCCUCUUGCCAUCAGAUGUGCCCAGAUGGGAUUAGCUAGUUGGUGGGGUAACGGCUCACCAAGGCGACGAUCCCUAGCUGGUCUGAGAGGAUGACCAGCCACACUGGAACUGAGACACGGUCCAGACUCCUACGGGAGGCAGCAGUGGGGAAUAUUGCACAAUGGGCGCAAGCCUGAUGCAGCCAUGCCGCGUGUAUGAAGAAGGCCUUCGGGUUGUAAAGUACUUUCAGCGGGGAGGAAGGUGUUGUGGUUAAUAACCGCAGCAAUUGACGUUACCCGCAGAAGAAGCACCGGCUAACUCCGUGCCAGCAGCCGCGGUAAUACGGAGGGUGCAAGCGUUAAUCGGAAUUACUGGGCGUAAAGCGCACGCAGGCGGUCUGUUAAGUCAGAUGUGAAAUCCCCGGGCUCAACCUGGGAACUGCAUCUGAUACUGGCAGGCUUGAGUCUCGUAGAGGGGGGUAGAAUUCCAGGUGUAGCGGUGAAAUGCGUAGAGAUCUGGAGGAAUACCGGUGGCGAAGGCGGCCCCCUGGACGAAGACUGACGCUC